rnacentral:lncRNA from 1 species
UUUUUCUAUUUGGACACCUGGACAUGGAUGUCCGCUUCCCUGGGAGUACCAGUUACACCCUUUCCAAGUUGUCUGGGGUGCUGGCUGGCCUGGUGCUGAUGUAACUGAAUCAAGGAAAGAUGAGGCUGGUCUGUGGGUGCUGAACAAGCUGCAAACUGAGAUCAACUGUCUCUCCUGGAAAGAAGUGCUGCUGCCAGGGUGAAGAAGCAAAGCUUGGUGAUGUGGAUAAGGCAGCAUCCUUCCUUCUCAGGUCUUCUAGUCUCCCUCCAGAACUCCCAGCAAAGCAGAAAUGUGGUGGGCAGCAUCCCACCUCCAACAUCACAAAGCGGAGUAUGAAAGGGAGAAAGUGAAAGAGG